CCUACGGGGGGCAGCAGUGGGGAAUUUUGGACAAUGGGCGCAAGCCUGAUCCAGCUAUUCCGCGUGUGGGAAGACGGCCUUCGGGUUGUAAACCACUUUUGUAGAGAACGAAAAGUCUGUUGAUAAUACCGAUAGAUGAUGACGCUACUCUAAGAAUAACCACCGGCUAACUACGUGCCAGCAGCUGCGGAAAUAGCGAGGAUGCGAGCGUUAUCCGGAUUUAUUGGGUUUAAAGGGUGCGUAGGGGGAAUGCCAAGCCAGCGGGAAAAUCGCGGGGCUCAACCUCUCUCCGCCGUUGAAACUGGGGUUCUUGAGUGGGGGAGAGGUAGGCGGAAUGCGUGGUGUAGCGGUGAAAGGCGUAGAUAUCACGAGGAACACCGAUUGCGAAGGCGGCAUGCCGGCGCCCAACUGACGCUGAAGCGCGAAAGCGUGGGGAUCGAACAGGAUUAGAUACCCGUGUAGUC
rnacentral:rRNA from 1 species